AAAAAAAGCGCCUAACACCAGGGGCCACUUGGCCCAGGUGGAGCCUCCAUUAAUCACGGGGCUCUCUGUGUUGUGGCCCCAAGGCGGGCAGCCGAUGGCCUCUGCCCGAGCCAAUAUGAGCUGCAGCCUAAUUACAGGGGACGGUGACCCCAGGGAGCAGAGUUCAGGCUCCGGUCACAGCUGCACCCAGGAGCCAGCUGCUUCCCAGACCUGCAGAGCCAGGGGAGAGGUUUGGAGGACCGGCACUGAAUGACAUGAUCCAAAGCGCGCCAAGCUGGGCUGGAGGUGACGGCAGAGCCACAGUGGCCACAGAGCCCCCACGUGAACCUACACGGAUCUGCCUGGUUUAGGUUCUGCUGAACUCCAGGGUGAGGAGGACCUGGUCUCCAUUCUCAAAGACAUGAAGAGGUUGACAAAGAAGAGUCACAGAAGUGACAAGUGUCCUGCUCCCAGCCCCGUUCACACACUCACCCAUCAAGUGUGGCAGGGACAGCCGCCUCUUACCAUCCACCUUGGGACCUGGACCUAAGUGGAGGUUUCUGGAGGGGCAGAUCCAGGGGAAAGGGUCUCCUCAGAAGCAGCCGCCAUUCAGAGGACCUGAGAUGAGAACCUCAUCACGCCCUCAUCAGACAGAGGAGAUCCGCGGUGUCUCCGAGCCUGGUCUCCCACUCCCCACCCAGCAGCGUUCCCUCCGCUCACCCCAAGCUUAGAACAUUCUGCUUCCCCUAAGAUCAGCUGCCGCAGUGGACUGAAUAGUGACCCCCAAAAGACAUGCCAGAGCCCUAGCCCUCGGACCUGUGAAUGUGACAGGAGUUGGAAUAGGGUCUUUGCAGAUGCAAUAAAGGAUCUCAAGAGGAGAGUAUCCUGGAUUUAGGGUGGGCUCUAAAUGCAAUGACAAGCAUCCUUACGAGACACAGAGACACAGAGAAAAGGCCAUGUGAAGACGGAGCAGGGAGUGGCGUGACGCAUCUACAUGCCCAGGAGCACCCGGGAGCCACCAGAAGCUGGGAGAGAGGCCUGGGCCGGAGCCUCCCGCAGAGGCCCCAAAGGAUCAGCCUGGUCGACACCUUGAUUUUGGACUUCUGGCCUCUAGAACCAUCUUCAGCCCCCAAAGUUCGUGGGGCUUUGUUGCAGCAGCCCCAGCAAACUGUCACGGGGGCCCUCCUCCCCUGCUAAGCCUGGUACCCAAAGCUCCCCAGCUAUCUGGGGCUAACCACACUGACCCUGGGACUUUCAGGUCACCCGUGUGUCCCACUCUUCUGCUUAACCUUCAGUGCCUGUGUGGUCACAGCUUCUCUCUCGUGAUAUGAGUCCUCUGGGCCUCUGAGUGCUCAUCUGCCCUGCACUGAAGGCUGAAGUUAAAUCCUGGAGAGAACUGACCCCUCUUGUGGGCAGGGCAGGCACUGUGCCCCCAGCACAGCCAGAGGGUACUGGCUGAAAUGUGUCCCUGUAAAGUGUCUCCCCUAUGCCCGUAUUUUCCUUCCAAGUGGGGAAGCCAGAGAGGCCUCCCCGAUCUUUCCCCCAGCCCCCUGGGGCAGGAAGCCUGUGGUCACCUGUCCGCAAGGAUCAGGUGGACAGACAACUAGCCCCUCCCAGGCCACACCUCAUCAACAGAGGGCCCCUCAAUUCUGCUGGUGGCCUAUGAGAGAAGGAAAAACUGAAGGAGUUGUUUACAGUAAACUCCAAACCCUUGUGCCAGAGAGGCCCAUGGCUGAGCAAGGUACCCCCACCCCCACUGCCCUGAGCUGCCAACUCAGCCCAGCUCAGCACUGUGACCUCUGACCUGCCUGUGGGCCACGGGAGCCUGGCCUGCCAAUCAGCAUCUCCCAGAUACCCAUCUUGUGAAGUCCCCAGUGGCUGAGUGCUUCCCCGCCCUUCCCGG
rnacentral:lncRNA from 1 species